rnacentral:rRNA from 1 species
UUCCGGUUGAUCCUGCCGGAGGCCACUGCUAUUGGGAUCCGACUAAGCCAUGCGAGUCGAGAGGGUUCGGCCCUCGGCAGACUGCUCAGUAACACGUGGAUAACCUACCCUUAGGUGGAGGAUAAUCUCGGGAAACUGAGAAUAAUACUCCAUAGAUCUAGGAUGCUGGAAUGCACCUAGAUUGAAAGCUCUGGCGCCUAAGGAUGGGUCUGCGGACUAUCAGGUUGUAGUCAGGGUAAAGACCUGACUAGCCUACGACGGAUAUGGGUUGUGAGAGCAAUAGCCCAGAGACGAUAUCUGAGACACGAUAUCGGGCCCUACGGGGCGCAGCAGGCGCGAAAUCUUCACAAUGUGCGAAAGCACGAUGAGGGGAUCCCAAGUGCUGGCACGUAAGUGUCAGCUGUUUCUUUGUCUAAAAAACAAAGAGAGUAAGAGCUGGGUAAGACGGGUGCCAGCCGCCGCGGUAAUACCUGCAGCUCAAGUGGUGGCCGCUAUUAUUGGGCCUAAAACGUCCGUAGCCGGUUUAGUAAAUGCUUGGGUAAAUUGUGUAGCUUAACUAUACGAAUACCGGGUAGACUGCUAGACUUGGGACCGGGAGAGGCUAGAGGUACUCCUAGGGUAGAGGUGAAAUUCUGUAAUCCUAGGGGGACCACCAGUGGCGAAGGCGUCUAGCUAGAACGGGUCUGACGGUGAGGGACGAAGCCCUGGGGCGCAAACCGGAUUGGAUACCCGGGUAGUCCAGGGUGUAAACGCUGCUUGCUUGAUGUUAGUUGGGCUCCGAGCCCAACUAGUGUCGGAGAGAAGUUGUUAAGCAAGCUGCCUGGGAAGUACGGUCGCAGACUGAAACUUAAAGGAAUUGGCCGGGGGAGCACAGCAACGGUGAGCGUGCGGUUUAAUUGGAAUCAACGCCUGGU